rnacentral:rRNA from 1 species
CGAACGGGUGAGUAACACGUGGGUAACCUGCCCCGAUGAUUGGGACAACCCGAGGAAACUCGGGCUAAUACCAAAUGUGCUGACCGGCCACAAGGUUGGUCAGGAAAGGAAGCUUCGGCCUCCGCAUCGGGAUGGGCCCGCGGCCCAUUAGCUUGUUGGUGGGGUAACGGCCUACCAAGGCGACGAUGGGUAGCUGGUCUGAGAGGACGAUCAGCCACACUGGGACUGAGACACGGCCCAG